rnacentral:tRNA from 1 species
GCGGCCGUGGCGGAAUUGGUAGACGCGCAGCGUUGAGGUCGCUGUGGGGCAACUCGGUGGAAGUUCGAGUCUUCUCGGCCGCACCA